AAUAAGUAUAGUUUUACACUAUUCACAUUCAACGUUUGACCAUUCGUCUUAUUUGAAUUUUUUUUAUGAUUAGUAUUUUUAUUGCUAUUAGAUGAUAAAACAUGAAUAGUGCUUUAUGUAUGACUAAAUUUUUUAAAUUUUUUCAUAAAUUUUUUAAAUAAGACGGACAGUCAAACGUUGGACACGGAUAUCCACGGCUGCAUUUAUU
rnacentral:pre_miRNA from 1 species